AACGAACGCUGGCGGCAUGCCUAACACAUGCAAGUCGAACGAGACCUUCGGGUCUAGUGGCGCACGGGUGCGUAACGCGUGGGAAUCUGCCCUUGGGUACGGAAUAACAGCGAGAAAUUGCUGCUAAUACCGUAUAAUGACGUAAGUCCAAAGAUUUAUCGCCCAGGGAUGAGCCCGCGUAGGGUUAGCUUGUUGGUGAGGUAAAAGCUCACCAAGGCGACGAUCCUUAGCUGGCUGAGAGGAUGAUCAGCCACACUGGGACUGAGACACGGCCCAGACUCCUACGGGAGGCAGCAGUGGGGAAUAUUGGACAAUGGGCGAAAGCCUGAUCCAGCAAUGCCGCGUGAGUGAUGAAGGCCUUAGGGUUGUAAAGCUCUUUUGCCCGGGAUGAUAAUGACAGUACCGGGAGAAGAAGCCCCGGCUAACUUCGUGCCAGCAGCCG
rnacentral:rRNA from 1 species